GUGUCAGCAGCCGCGGUAAUACGGAGGGUGCAAGCGUUAUCCGGAAUUACUGGGUUUAAAGGGUGCGUAGGCGGUGGGAUAAGUCAGUUGUGAAAUUCCGUGGCUUAACCAUAGGGACUGCGAUUGAUACUGUUUCACUUGAAUCAGGUUGAGGUGAGCGGAAUGUGGCAUGUAGCGGUGAAAUGCAUAGAUAUGCCAUAGAACACCGAUUGCGAAGGCAGCUUGCUGGACCUGUAUUGACGCUGAGGCACGAAAGCGUGGGGAGCAAACAGGAUUAGAAACCCUAGUAGUCC
rnacentral:rRNA from 1 species